GCCGGUGGCUUUAUGUGGGUUGAUCUUAUUUAAGAGUUUUUCGAUCCCAUUUGGUGUUAUAUGUAAUUCGCUGAUAUUAGGAUGUGAACUGAUGCCUUUGUUUGGUAUUGGGUCAUCUGUAACUGGGGUAAAUACAGAUUGAAAUUGUUCGUUUAAGAGAUUUGCUUUCUCUGUGGCGUCUGUAAUGAUGUUGCCGUCUUUCUUUAGUGCAGAGAUACCAGAUUUGUCAGUUCUUAUUGACUUGAUGUAUUGAAAGAGUUUCUUAGGUUUGCUCUGAUUUUGUAUUUGAAUGUCUGGUUCAUUAAUUGGAAGAUCACAUAUAAGUUUUUCAAUAUAUUCCCAGUAGGCUUUCCUUUGAUCUUUUUGUACCUGAGCUUUCAUCUUUUUAUAUUUCUCCGUGUAUUCGCUGUUUUUUCGCUUUUUGUAAAGUUUGUUUUUCUUGUUAAUUUGUCGUCUUAAUUUAUCAGAUAUCCACGGUAAUCGAUGUUUGUUUCGUAGGAUUUUUGAUGGAAUGUGUUUUUCGACAGAGCUGAUGAGUUUGGUUUUAAAUAGUUCCCAUAGCUCAUUGGUGUUAAGAGAAUCAUAGUUGUCAAUGAUUGAUUUGUAGAUGGUACUUAUGUCAAGUUUAAUUUCGUCCCAGUUGGCUUUGUUAUACUUGUAUACUUUUUGUGGGGUUUCUCUUAUUCUCUUAAGCCAGAUGUCUGCUUCGGCAUAGACAAUAUCAUGGUCGCUUGAACCUAUUGGUGGUAGUGUGGUUACUUUGUUGAUGUAUGUUGGGUUAUUAAUCAUUAUUAGAUCUAGUAUGCGAUCAUUUCUUGUUGGUGUAUUGACAACUUGAUGUAGGUUUGUGUCAUUCAUUAUAUCUAAGAGAUUUUGGUGAAGUUGUAUGUCAGGUUUGCCUGGUAUUGUGCUUGAUGUUGACCAAUCAAUAUGUCCCAAGUUAAAAUCACCCCCCACAAUAAUAGUUGCAUUUGAUUGACUAUUGAUACGAUUUAGAGAUUGAUGGAGUUGCUCUAGUGACAAACCUGUAUCAGA
rnacentral:lncRNA from 1 species